rnacentral:lncRNA from 1 species
UUGCUUUUCAAACUGGAUAUAAGCGGCUAUGCGACCUAUUUUCGUGUAUUCAGACUUGCGUGAAACAACAGACUUAUUUUUUUGGAGUGUUGCCGUGGUUAUCACCGGGGAUACCCUGUUAACGGUGUACAGGCGAUCCUCCGGCUUAUCAACCACUGCAGUCCCUAUGAAGAGUUGGUAGGCCCUACCGUUAUCAUCGAGGGUGCCAGCGGGCGGUACGCUGGCGACCCACGGCUAUCCGGUCUCCGGGCCUGGGAGGAAGAAAGGAUGGGAUAGAGUGAAGGAAGAGAAGAGGAAGGAGAAGAAACCCUCUAGGAUAGACGGAGAGGAAAUGUUCGCGAACCCUUAUAGGCCUCGAUGUGUAUUAGAAUAUAAUAGUAGAUAGUACAUCAGCAUACAAACUGGAACCUGGUGGUAGGAAAUGUAUUCGCCCAGAUACCGACCACCUGACCGUACACAAGGUGUAGAGCCCUCCAUAAUAGCCCAGGUAAGUGCAUCGCGUUUCGGUAUCAGCCUGUUAUUGAUUUGGCUCUCUGUCUCACAGGCCGGCAUAAUUGUGUCGACUGGCGAGGGAUUAUCUCUUGUUAAUCGACUCUAUCUGAUCACACCUACGCUUACCAUCAGGUGCAGUAACUAUAUCUACUAUAUAGGUAACCGUAUAGGUAUACACACUGAACUGUGUGCCUAGGGUCGCGGCAACUAUGCCCCCAUACAUGGGCGUACAUUUGGUGUGAAGAUAAGCGCAUAAGAAAAAUCGUGUUUCAGACAUUGGUGCAGCCUUUAUCUCAUUAACUGAACUUGAAAUACUUAAUAUCAAGUAUGUUGUACAGUAGUAUGUUGUACGAUGAUGCCCAGGCCUAGCACAGCAUGUACAAUACAGGGCUGAUAUUACCACUUUACAAAAAGAUAUUUGAAACUUGCAUCUGAACUGGGAAGUUUAAUAUAGAUCUGGGAUGUUAUGUUAAAAUUUGUAAUACGUAGUCUAUCUACCUUAUUAUAAUUAAACGCAUAUUCUCAAGUUUACAAACACGAGAGUCCGACAUUGAACUAAGUUCCUUAUGUACAUAAAUGGCAAAAGAAAUACAUAGAUCUGAAUCAUUUUAAUGUCUAUGUACUUGUAGAGUGUUGCUACGCGGCGAACGUCAAGGCUAUUUGCUCUCGGAGCUCCGCGACUAUUAAAAUAAUAAUUAAGCGUUUACAUACAAAACCCUCAUCAUUGUUAUUAGGCAUUUUUAGCUUAGGCUUAUAUUAAUAGAGAUACUUUUUUUUACUCAUGCAGGAGAAAAGUGUAAAUAAAUGUUACAAUGCUUCAGUCAUAAGAUCGAAGUAUUUCUUUAGGAUUUUUUAAAAACGUGUGGACUGUUUUUGAAUAAAAUUUAUUGAGAUAAUUGUCUUGUACAAUAACAGGAUUAACCUCCAUAAAGUAAGUAAUAAUAUGUAUUAUAAUAAACCUUGUCAUUUUUAUAGUUCCAACAAAUUCCGUGUUUGUAUUAGGUAAGUAGUAUGUUCCCAUUGUAAACCAUACCUACUACGAACGAUAUAAGAAUUGACUAUUGGAACUGGUAAAUAACAUUACAUUAAAACAUACUAAUUAUUAUUAUGUGAAUACCUAUCUCUAACGACUUAACAUUAUCGUGAUUGGCAAACAUUCAUGACCUAAGUCUCAACGCAAUCUUGUCGCUUGCGUGGACGGUAGUGACAUCUAGCAGCAAUCAACGAAAGCUACUUUAUCUAUGUUGCUAGACGUGAAAAAAGUGUUAGCAUGGUAACUUUUUAGAUUGUAUGACAAUAUUCAUGUAAUAAAACUUGAUAUUUUUUGUA